rnacentral:rRNA from 1 species
CGGGGAAUAUUGCGCAAUGGACGGAAGUCAGACGCAGCGACGCCGCGUGGGUGAAGAAGGCCUUCGGGUUGUAAAGCCCUUUUCUGUGGGAAGAGAAAGGACGGUACCAUGGGAAUAAGCGUCGGCUAACUACGUGCCAGCAGCCGCGGUAAGACGUAGGACGCGAGCGUUAUCCGGAUUUACUGGGCGUAAAGCGUGUGUAGGCGGCGUGACAAGUUGGGCGUGAAAGCCCCGUGCUCAACGCGGGGAGGCCGCACAAUACUGUCAGGCUAGAGGGCAUCAGAGGGGUGUGGAAUUCCCGGAGUAGCGGUAAAAUGCGCAGAUAUCGGGAGGAACACCGGUGGCGAAAGCGGCACCCUGGGGUGCACCUGACGCUGAGAGACGACAGCUAGGGGAGCGAACA